CACACACAGUUCCAGCUUUCGCACGUGAUUCAAACAGCAGCACAGCAGCCAGUUCUCUCUUCACCUGCAGUAAGAGGAAGAUUCAGGGACGAUAUGGCUAUUAACCACGGCUAAAAAAAGGAAGUCUCUGUGCUUAGAAGCAACAUGCUUUGAUUACCAGAUGUGUGCAGAGUCAGUGUGCUGUAGUGGUUUGGGUGGUGGACUAGAUAGGAACAGAAAUCCCCACUCAGCCAUGAAGCUCAGUAGGCGACGUUGGCUCACUCAGUCUAAUGUACCUCACAGAAUGGUUGCAAGGGUAAGAUGGCAGUGAUGGAAGAGAACCAUGUAUGCUGCCCUGAGCUCCUCAGAAGAAGGGUAUACUUUUUAAGAAAAAUGUUAUGACCCCACAUCUCUCAUUCCAACAUGUGGAAAAAUAGAUUCACAUACAUUUUCUUUUUAGGAUGCUUUUCCCAGUUUGUCUCUAGAAGGGCCAAUUCCAUCACUGCAUACACCAAGUAUGGCAAAUCCAUUCCCUAAUAUGGCACUCCAGGCAGUGCCUGCAUAACCCAAAUCACACCCUGUGUGGCCAUCCAGAUGUUGCUUCCUUGUGUGGAGGUUCCUUAUAAGCAAUGCACUUUUAAAAUAAAAUUCCUUUCCCAUCCCUUUUAAGCCACUGCCAGCACCGAUUUACGACUCCAGGUAACUACUCCCCUUAAGCUCACUUGGCAUAUGGCUAUAGGUAUGGGAAUGGACUAAUUUAUAUGAUUUAUUUAACACAGAAAUAUACUUGUAAUGAUAUUUGUUGAAUCAAUAUUUGCAAGGUAAAGCAAGAUGGCAUUGUUUUUUACAGUGCUCCAAAUCAAGUUCCUAUGCAAAGGUAGCUAGACCUAGUAUCUUAAUUCACCCUCUGUUUCAAAGUGAAAGCCAAAUUACCCUAACCUCUUUGCCCACAGUGGCCACUCACUGAUGCUAGCUUAAAGGACCUGUUUUUGUAGGCCUCCGAAUGCAGACUUCAAAUGGAUUUCUGGGUCUCUGGUCUCCAAUCCUCACUUGGCUAUUCUGUCUGGACUGCAGGCCCUGACGCUUGCUUCCUCAUGCCAGCUAAGUUAAUUCAGCAAAAUCUUCCUCUUCCUAGACUUCCUCUGCCACAAGCUAUUCCUGCUUUCUUUGCAGUUCUCUUUCAGGUAAGUCUUCACCAGGCAGUAGAGAUCCAGCCCUUUUGAAGCUUCUCCUUAAGGAAGUCUGCCUCCCCAAAUCUCUCUGCCUCUGGCACCAUUCUCCAGCUUUCUUUCAAUGGAUUCAGCUCUGGCCUCGACACGAAGAAGAAGAAAAAAGUCAGUUGUGAAGCUGCCUUGUGGUACCAUGCCUUGUGGACAGAUUUGGAGUGACUGGCAAAUGAAGAGCAACCAACGAGAAUUGAUUGGGCAGAUGUAGGACUACAAGCUAAGCGGAGAGAAGGGGCACUAGAUGGAAUAGUGAAUGGCUCUAUGGAAGGAUUUGUUCCAUCACUCACCGAAUUGGAGAG